AGGAGAAGGAGAUGUUCCAAGAAGCCUUCACUUGCUGGUCCAGGGAGGACACCUGAGAAGACACUUAAAACGAAUUCAGUCAUGCAGCUUGGAGAAUGAUCUUAAGGGUGGUAUUUUACAUUCAAUGUUCAAUGAUUCCGGAGACUUGGAGAAAGGGAAAUAGAACCUUUAUUUGAACCAUGAUGUCAUGCGAUUUUUGUACAGCACAGGCUGGGAAGCGUCCAUGGGUCGAUCCCUUUGUGAAUUACAUGGAGCUGACAGGGCUGAAACCCACAGUGACCCAGAUGAGGAUUGAAGCUUGUGCUGAAAGAGUGGCUGCCGCCCCAAACAUGUAAAUUGCCUAAACUUGCUAUCACCACCAGUGAACUCUGAAUGGUGAUUCGUAUAGAGCUUGUAAGACUAGAAGAGAAGUUGUUAGAGAAGAGAGAUGGUGAAAGAGAGUGAAGAAAGUGAAGAUAUUAGCCACAGCACCUGUGUGGAU